rnacentral:rRNA from 1 species
AACUCGGCCAUUUAGAGGAAGUACAAGUCGUAACAAGGUUUCCGUAGGUGAACCUGCGGAAGGAUCAUGUUGUCCAAGGCUGCCGCCCCCGGUAUGCGCCCCGAGGCUGCGACCGGCGGGUAGGCCAUCCAAACCUUAGACCGUGCCUUUGGCACGUUAAAUGGACCGAGAGCGUCGCUCCGGCCGUGUGGCUCUGGCCACGCUUUUAAACAUCCGAGUAGAACUAUGUUUGGUUGAAAAUCUACAACCAGUAGCACUGGAUCCCUUGGCACGUCAUUCGAUGAAGAACGUAGCAAUCUGCGAUAAGUGGUGAGAUAUGCAAGUCCACAGCUUAUACGUGAACCAUCGAAUCUUUGAACGCACUGCACUAUCCGGACGACACCCCCGUGAUAGUAUGCCCCGUUGAGCGUUAUUUGUCCCUUCAGACACCGUCAUGUUCAUGCAUGCUGGUGGAUGAGUUCGAGGUUCACGUCUUUUGGGUGCGUUCCUUGAGAUGGAUUAGCAACCGGUCAAAUGGAAGCCCCAUCCUGUGAUGAUUUUGCAGGCCGAGGUGCCAUUGAAAUGGUCGGUGCUGACAGUUGCCUCCUGGCAAACCUGGCACGCUGUGCCCUCGCUUUGAACAUAACCCCAGUGGGGUAGGAGUACCCGCUAGACUUAAGCAUAUUAAUCAGCGGAGGAAAAGAAACUAACAAGGAUUCCCCUAGUAAC